rnacentral:rRNA from 1 species
GACGAACGCUGGCGGCGUGCUUAACACAUGCAAGUCGAACGGAAAGGCCCUGCUUUUGUGGGGUGCUCGAGUGGCGAACGGGUGAGUAACACGUGAGUAACCUGCCCUUGACUUUGGGAUAACUUCAGGAAACUGGGGCUAAUACCGGAUAGGAGCUCCUGCUGCAUGGUGGGGGUUGGAAAGUUUCGGCGGUUGGGGAUGGACUCGCGGCUUAUCAGCUUGUUGGUGGGGUAGUGGCUUACCAAGGCUUUGACGGGUAGCCGGCCUGAGAGGGUGACCGGCCACAUUGGGACUGCGGUACGGCCCAGACUCCUACGUGAGGCAGCAGUGGGGAAUAUUGCACAAUGGGCGGAAGCCUGAUGCAGCAACGCCGCGUGCGGGAUGCCCGCCUUCGGGUUGUAAACCGCUUUCGCCUGUGACGAAGCGUGAGUGACGGUAAUGGGUAAAGAAGCACCGGCUAACUACGUG